UACGGGGGGGGCAAGCGUUGUUCGGAAUUACUGGGCGUAAAGGGCUCGUAGGUGGCCAACUAAGUCAGACGUGAAAUCCCUCAGCUUAACUGGGGAACUGCGUCUGAUACUGGAUGGCUUGAGUUUGGGAGAGGGAUGGGGAAUUCCAGGUGUAGCGGUGAAAUGCGUAGAUAUCUGGAGGAACACCGGUGGCGAAGGCGGCAUCCUGGACCAACACUGACACUGAGGAGCGAAAGCCAGGGGAGCAAACGGG
rnacentral:rRNA from 1 species